rnacentral:rRNA from 1 species
UACGGAGGGUGCGAGCGUUGUCCGGAAUCAUUGGGCGUAAAGGGCGCGUAGGCGGCCCGGUCAGUCAGUGGUGAAAGCGCGGGGCUCAACUCCGCGUCGGCCAUUGAUACUGCGGGGCUGGAGCACUGUAGAGGCAGGCGGAAUUCCGGGUGUAGCAGUGAAAUGCGUAGAGAUGUGGAGGAAUACCGAUGGCGAAGGCAGCCCCCUGGGAUAACACUGACGCUCAUGCACGAAAGCGUGGGGAGCAAACAGG